rnacentral:rRNA from 1 species
AUUGAACGCUGGCGGCAGGCCUAACACAUGCAAGUCGAGCGGAUGAAGAGAGCUUGCUCUCUGAUUUAGCGGCGGACGGGUGAGUAAUGCCUAGGAAUCUGCCUGGUAGUGGGGGAUAACGUUCCGAAAGGAACGCUAAUACCGCAUACGUCCUACGGGAGAAAGCAGGGGACCUUCGGGCCUUGCGCUAUCAGAUGAGCCUAGGUCGGAUUAGCUAGUAGGUGAGGUAAUGGCUCACCAAGGGGACGAUCCGUAACUGGUCGGAGAGGAUGAUCAGUCACACUGGAACUGAGACACGGUCCAGACUCCUACGGGAGGCAGCAAUGGGGAAUAUUGGACAAUGGGCGAAAGCCUGAUCCAGCCAUGCCGCGUGUGUGAAGAAGGUCUUCGGAUUGUAAAGCACUUUAAGUUGGGAGGAAGGGCAGUAAGUUAAUACCUUGCUGUUUUGACGUUACCGACAGAAUAAGCACCGGCUAACUUCGUGCCAGCCGCCCGCGGUAACAC